GAUGAAGAACGUAGCGAAAUGCGAUAAGUAAUGUGAAUUGCAGGAUUCAGUGAAUCAUCGAAUCUUUGAACGCACAUUGCGCCCCUUGGUAUUCCGGGGGGCAUGCCUGUUCGAGCGUCAUUACAACCCUCAAGCUCUGCUUGGUCUUGGGCGUCACCGGUCCCCGGUGUGCCUUAAAAUCAGUGGCGGCGCCAUCUGGCUCUAAGCGUAGUACAUACUCUCGCUACAGACGUCCGGUGGAUGCUGGCCAGCAACCCCCAAUUUAUCAAGGUUGACCUCGGAUCAGGUAGGGAUACCCGCUGAACUUAAGCAUAUCAAUAAGCGGAGGA
rnacentral:misc_RNA from 1 species